GGAUCAUACGAGUAACCCCAGAGUGCAGUCUGGACGAUGGGGCGGGGCGACACUUCGAGGCGGAGCGACACGUGUCGCCCCGCCCAUAUUUGUUUUCCCCGCCUUUGACAUUUUCCUCCGAGCCAGCAGGGGGCAGUUUGCGUUGAAACAAACAGAACGGUGGCAACUACAGCAGCAGAGUAAUAACGCUAUUCCGUUGAUUGCUUCAGGUGAGUAAAAGUGGUUGUGUAAAUAUCUUAUAAUAUGAAAUGCGAUGUUCGAUCAUUUAUUUAUCCAUGGUACGUUCAAUUUGAAUAAUUAUUGUUAAUAAUUGUUAUAAAUUGCAAAUUUUAUUGUUCUUUGUGGAUUGUAACAGUACACUCUGUACAUGGCUUUAGUUCAUAGGUUCGAUUUUACAGAGGAUGACAUGAUCAGGAGGUGGUGGUGUUCUGUUCUCCUGGACAGCUUUACUCCGCAAAUAGCUCAACCACUGAGGGGAGGAACUUCACCAUUCACCAUGUCUUCAGGCAGAGUCCAGCAAAGCAGCUUCCCCUGGAAAUCCUCAGGGAAGUUAUUUUGUCGGCGGGUGACUCUGCAUAUUUGACACUUUCUCUGGUUUGCAGAUGGUUUAGGGAUGUGCUCCGAAGUUUUUCGGAAAGCGGCACAGUUUGUCUGGCUAGACAGUAAGAUUUCCCCGUUUAAUGCUCAUUCUCCAAUUGAAUUUUGUAGUAGAAGGCUGUUAAACUUUUUUUGUAUUAUUAUUAUAAUUAUCUUUCAUGUAUUUUGUCUUUACACUAUAAGUUGUGGCCAACUGGAAGAAUUGUCCUCGUGUCUCCUGACCGGAACGAGUUCAGAUGGAUGUACAGCAUCAGGGAAUGCUUGCAGUGCAGAGCCCUUUUCAAGUUUAACCCACCAGGGUACAGGGAAGAGACUGGCGUGGUGAUCUUCUGGGCUUUUGUUUACACAGGAUUUUGUUCCAAGGACUGUUUUUUAUUUUUUAUUUUUAUUUUUUGCGGCAUGAAACACAUUUGUGUGUUAAAUUCAUUGAAGGGAAAUAGAGAAUGGACUGAGAUCAACUGGUUUUGAUGUAUUAAUUGAUGUCAUUUAAAGUUAAACUUUGCAGUGUAUAAUGUUUUAAUAAAAAAGCUAUGGAAAACA